rnacentral:rRNA from 1 species
CUCAGAGAACAGUAUUUAGCCUUAUAUAACAUUGCUCGCGAUAAGAAUAAUACUAUUGCGUACGUGCUCAGUUCAUCCCCGCCGAAUAUUUCGUUCGGGCGGGAUUUGACUGGCCGUGGACUUGUGUCAUGGCAUAAUCUUUUAUCCCGGCUGGAUUGGAUUAACUUGACACAAGGCCGGGAUGUGUUUCGCUGGAACCUUACUAUGUCAGGGUCGUUCACAGUAGCUCUAUGUACCAUGUGCUCACACAUUCUGAGGUACCAAUCAGUAAUAAUAAGAAAAUUUGGAAUUCCAAGAUUCCACUAA